GUACGGGGGGAGCAAGCGUUGUUCGGAUUUACUGGGCGUAAAGGGCGCGUAGGCGGCCACUGCAAGUCGGUUGUGAAAUCUCCGGGCUUAACCCGGAAAGGUCAAUCGAUACUGCAGGGCUAGAGUGCGGAAGGGGCAACUGGAAUUCUCGGUGUAGCGGUGAAAUGCGUAGAUAUCGAGAGGAACACCUGCGGCGAAGGCGGGUUGCUGGGCCGACACUGACGCUGAAGUGCGAAAGCUAGGGGAGCGAACGGG
rnacentral:rRNA from 1 species